rnacentral:tRNA from 1 species
GCUGGCGUAGCUCAACUGGCAGAGCAGCUGAUUUGUAAUCAGCAGGUUGGGGGUUCAAGCCCCUCCGCCAGCUCCA